rnacentral:rRNA from 1 species
UGCCCAGACUCCUACGGGAGGCAGCAGUGGGGAAUAUUGCACAAUGGGGGAAACCCUGAUGCAGCAACGCCGCGUGAGUGAAGAAGAAUCUCGGUAUGUAAAGCUCUAUCAGCAGGGAAGAAGAUGACGGUACCUGAGUAAGAAGCCCCGGCUAACUACGUGCCAGCAGCCGCGGUAAUACGUAGGGGGCAAGCGUUAUCCGGAUUUACUGGGUGUAAAGGGAGCGUAGACGGCCAGGCAAGUCUGGAGUGAAAGCCCGGGGCUCAACCCCGGGACUGCUUUGGAACUGCGCGGCUGGAGUGCAGGAGGGGCAGGCGGAAUUCCUGGUGUAGCGGUGAAAUGCGUAGAUAUCAGGAGGAACACCAGCGGCGAAGGCGGCCUGCUGGACCGUAACUGACGUUGAGGCUCGAAAGCGUGGGGAGCAAACAGGAUUAGAUACCCUCGUAA